rnacentral:rRNA from 1 species
UACGAGUUGUGCAAACGUUAUUCGGAAUCACUGGGCUUAAAGGGUGCGUAGGCGGGCGCGCAGGUCAGGUGUGAAAUCCCACGGCUCAACCGUGGAAUUGCGCUUGAAACCGCGUGUCUUGAGGGGGUCAGAGGAGAGCGGAACUGAUGGUGGAGCGGUGAAAUGCGUUGAUAUUAUCAGGAACACCGGUGGCGAAAGCGGCUCUCUGGGACCUUUCUGACGCUGAGGCACGAAAGCUAGGGGAGCGAACGGG